rnacentral:misc_RNA from 1 species
GGAAGGAUCAUUAACGGUUUUCGGGUGCCUCGCGCCCAAACCCCAACCCUGUGAUUUAUUCAUCCUGUUUCUUUGCCGGCUUCGGCCGGCAGAAGCCUUCUCAAACUCGAUGCAAUCGUGUCGUCUGAAUUGUGAAAACAAAUGAAUCAAAACUUUCAACAACGGAUCUCUUGGUUCUGGCAUCGAUGAAGAACGCAGCGAAAUGCGAUAAGUAAUGUGAAUUGCAGAAUUCAGUGAAUCAUCGAAUCUUUGAACGCAUAUUGCGCCCUUUGGUAUUCCGAAGGGCAUGCCUGUUCGAGCGUCAUUACACCCCUCAAACCCCCGGGUUUGACGUUGGGCGCCGCCCCGCCGGGCGCGCCUGAAAGGCAGCGAUGGUGAACCGUGUACCUCCGAGCGCACACAUGUCGCUACGCGAGGGCGCGGGGACCAGGCUUCUAGACAACCAGACGUUGACCUCGGAUCAGGUAGGGAUACCCGCUGAACUUAAGCAUAUCAAUAAGCGGAGGAAAAGAAACCAACAGGGAUUGCCUCAGUAACGGCGAGUGAAGCGGCAACAGCUCAAAUUUGAAAUCUGACCCUUCGGGUCCGAGUUGUAAUUUGUAGAGGAUGUUUCGGGUAAGAUCGAGGCCUAAGUUCCUUGGAACAGGACGUCAUGGAGGGUGAGAAUCCCGUAUGCGGCCCACGAUCGCACCCAUGUGAAACUCCUUCGACGAGUCGAGUUGUUUGGGAAUGCAGCUCAAAAUGGGUGGUAAAUUUCAUCUAAAGCUAAAUAUUGGCCAGAGACCGAUAGCGCACAAGUAGAGUGAUCGAAAGAUGAAAAGCACUUUGAAAAGAGAGUUAAACAGUAUGUGAAAUUGUUGAAAGGGAA